GGGCCAAGUUCCUCGCUCAAACUUUUUUAGUAUUUUUUUCAAUCACCAAAAUCUAGAACGAGUCAAAAUUAAUUUCAAUACAAUGAUCGAUCCAACAAUCCGACAUAAAUAUAUCGAUAAAUGAUCUCCAAAGUAUUUAGUUUUGACAACACUGGUCCACACAAUUUUAGUCUCUCUUAACCGCUCUCUACGUAGUGAUCUGCCUGGAAUUUAUUUAUAUCCCGCGAAGGUAUAUCCUUAAAGCCACUCAAAAACAUCCUCAUUCACUCCCACUCAUUCAUCCCAUGGCGGUUGCUCUCACCAGCAUCAGUCACUGCUCUUUCCCUUCAACCUGCCGUGCUCCACUCCUCCACAUUACCAUCCUUAACCAGGAUGAUGGGGUGCAUUUGUUCUCUUCCUGUACUAUGAACAAGCUUAAGUUUGGGAUUGUGGGUGUGCGAGAGCACAAAGGUUUCCCUUCGCCUAAAUUGUUGCGCUCUAGAAGGAGGAGAACUUUGGUCUAUGCAGUCGAUCAAUAUUCCGAGAAGUCAUUUAAACAUACUGUGGAAGUGGAUAGGCUGAUAGAUAAGUUGCGAGAAGCAAAUUCAAGUCAACUUCAAAAGCUUGUAGUUGAAAAUGUUCUGGCCUUCAACGAGAGUUUUUGGAUUCGGCUUGCAGCGAGGACUGAGACAUGCAAGUCUGAUGAUGAUAAAAAAGAUUAUGAAGAACUGGCUUUAUCAGUAAUGAGCAUAGUGGAUCGUCUUGUUCGCAAAACCAAUGAGAAAAUAGAAUCUGCAACCGAUAUUUUAAAGGAAAUUAUAAAGCCUGUAAUUGAUGAAGAGGAGGAGAUUUCUUGGCCUCCGAGGGAUCCACAAUCUCUUAUUCUGAUGGAGAAGGAAUUGGCAGCAAGAGAGCAAGAAGGACAACUUGAUGAAGGUUUCCUCUCUGAAGUAAAUGCGCAAUUACGACAAGCAAAACAAGAUGGUGAUAAGCCAGGGCUAGAGGCAAUGCUGCAAAAGGUAUUGCAACUGUAUGCAGCCAAAGUUCUCUCAAAACGUAGCUAUUCAAAGAAAGGAGGAGAAAUUGUGAGGGCUGAGCUAUUGCUUGAAUCUGUAAUCAAAGAACUAAUACAAAUUCAGCCCCUGAGGAGGACUGGAACAAAUUACUGUUUGGCGGACUAACACUGGGAAAAGGAGAAGUUACUGCCGAGGAGUUUUAUGCUGUCGUCCUGAAGCGUAUUGAAAGGACUCUAAUCAGGACUGAAGGGGGAUCUUAUCAGCAACGAGUUUUGACGGAGUACCUGAAAGGUAUACAGUCAAGAACAGAAGACAUUGUCCAAGCUUUUCAAGGACCAAAUUCUUGAUGUCAUAUGGCUGAAAGAUCCAGGACAAUUAAGCAAGGAGAGCAGAACAAAAUGAAGUUGCAGUUCCUCCAAUAUGCAGGGCUUCUUUCGUUGGGUUAUGGAUUUAUGUCAAAGGUGUGAUUAUUGUUAAGCCUGACUGAGUUAAAAUGACUUAUUUGCUUUAGAGUUUGAUCUCCAGUAAGAAUGAUUUUUUAAAAUGGAAGGUACCUAUCCUGCCAUUAUAUGUGUAAUAUAUGAUUUUGGGUUUGAACUUGGGGCAAAGUUGUUAAUGAACAACUGCUGGAAAGAAGAUAAGCCCUUCAUGAGUCGAAAACUGGACGUGGAUGCCAGACUCACGGUACAUAUCCUAAACCUUGAUAUAGUUCUCAA